UACGUAGGAUGCAAGCGUUGUCCGGAAUUAUUGGGCGUAAAGAGCUCGUAGGCGGUCUGUUGCGUCCGCUGUGAAAACUCGGGGCUUAACCCCGAGCCUGCAGUGGAUACGGGCAGGCUUGAGUUCGGUAGGGGAGACUGGAAUUCCUGGUGUAGCGGUGAAAUGCGCAGAUAUCAGGAGGAACACCGGUGGCGAAGGCGGGUCUCUGGGCCGAUACUGACGCUGAGGAGCGAAAGCGUGGGGAGCGAACAGG
rnacentral:rRNA from 1 species